CGUUCUGCGACUUCGCCUAUAAAUACAUAAUUUGGAUCUGGUGGAGACAGUUCCUCAGUGCUGUCGUGACGAUAACUAUCUCAUCUCCCGUCCUACUGCGUAAGAGAAUGAAGACGGGUGCUUCAGUGAUGCGUUCUUAUCUUGCGGUCGUUGCUGUGUCGCACGCUGUCACUGCCAAGCUGCCUCUCCCUACAGUGGGACGUGAGGUGAGGUUAGGCCUGGGUCAGGCAGUGGAUGCUGUGCUGGAUGCCAUGGUGGAGACCAACUGCUCCUUCAUCCUGCUCACUGAUGGUGCCACCUCCUACACCACUGUAUACGAGGCACUGCAAAAUUAUUCUCUUUUAAUAUAAUCUGUGUGUGUCAC